rnacentral:ncRNA from 2 species
CGAUGUUCUCAGGGCGGGGUGAAAGUCCCCACCGGCGGUAAGGGUCGAAAGGCCUAAGCCCGCGAGCGCCUUCCCCAAGGAUAUUCCUGAGAAAGGGAUAUUCCCAAAGGGAAGGGUCAGCAGAUUCGGUGCAACUCCGAAGCCGACGGUUAAAGUCCGGAUGAAAGAGAACGGUC